rnacentral:tRNA from 1 species
GGGAAGGUAGCUCAGUGGUAGAGCACUUGCCUUGCAUGCCUGAGGCCCUGGGUUCGA